AGGAUGAACGCUGGCGGCGUGCCUAACACAUGCAAGUCGAACGUCCUGUCUCGCAAGAGGCAGGGAGUGGCGGACGGGUGAGUACCACGUGGGUCAUCUACCGUGAGGUGAGGAAUACCGGCGAGAAAUCGCCGACAAGACCGCAUAGGCUCGAUGCAAGUCGAGCAAAGCUCUUUCGAGAGAGGGAGCGCCACACGAGGAGCCUGCGCCCGAUUAGCUAGCUGGUGGAGUAACGGUUCACCAGGGCGACGAUCGGUAGCUGGUCUGAGAGGACGAUCAGCCACACUGGGAUUGAGAACGGCCCAGGCUCCUACGGGGGGCAGCAGUGAGGAAUUUUCGUCAAUGGGGGCAACCCUGAACGAGCAACGCCGCGUGCAGGAAGAAGGUUUCGGAUCGUAAACUGCUUUUCUCGGGAAGAGAACGGACGGUACCGAGGAAUCAGCCCCGGCAACUACGUGCCAGCAGCCGC
rnacentral:rRNA from 1 species